rnacentral:rRNA from 1 species
AUUGAACGCUGGCGGCAGGCCUAACACAUGCAAGUCGAGCGAGCGGCGGAUGGGUGAGUAAUGUCUGGGAAACUGCCUGAUGGAGGGGGAUAACUACUUUAAACGGUAGCUAAUACCGCAUCCCAUCAGAUGUGCCCAGAUGGGAUUAGCUAGUAGGUGGGGUAACGGCUCCCCUCUGCGACGAUCCCUAGCUGGUCUGAGAGGAUGACCAGCCACACGGGAACUGAGACACGGUGCCGACUCCUACGGGAGGCAGCAGUGGGGAAUAUUGCACAAUGAGCGCAAGCCUGAUGCAGCCAUGCCGCGUGUGUGAAGAAGGCCUUCGGGUUGUAAAGCACUUUCAGCGGGGAGGCGUUACCCGCAGAAGAAGCACCGGCUAACUCCGUGCCAGCCGCCGCGGUAAUAC